rnacentral:rRNA from 1 species
CCUACGGGAGGCAGCAGUGAGGAAUAUUGGUCAAUGGACGAGAGUCUGAACCAGCCAAGUCGCGUGAAGGAUGACUGCUCUAUGGGUUGUAAACUUCUUUUAUAAAGGAAUAAAACGAGGCACGCGUGCCUUGUUGCAUGUACUUUAUGAAUAAGGAUCGGCUAACUCCGUGCCAGCAGCCGCGGUAAUACGGAGGAUCCGAGCUUUAUCCGGAUUUAUUGGGUGUAAAGGGAGCGUAGUUGGGUUGUUAAGUCAGUUGUGAAAGUUUGCGGUUCAACCGUAAAAUUGCAAUUGAUACUGGCAGUCUUGAGUACAGUUGAGGUAGGCGGAAUUCGUGGUGUAGCGGUGAAAUGCUUAGAUAUCACGAAGAACCCCGAUUGCGAAGGCAGCUUACUAAGCUGUGACUGACAUUGAUGCUCGAAAGUGUGGGUAUCAAACAGGAUUAGAUACCCGGGUAGUC